GCAGGACGAAACUAACACCUGACAGUCUCACAGGCACCGUCCCUUUCACGCAAAAUCAAUUUUCCCCCUGGCACACGGCGGCGCUAACAGCGACCCUAAGCUGCCGCAUGCAGGCACGCCUGCCUGCAAUGUGACAGAGGCGCUACCGGAAUGCCGUCAACGACCGCCGCUGUGCCACAGGCUCGCUCCACUCGUAUCUUCCUUAGCUUUCGAAACUGCGGAUAAGAACGCCUACCAAAUUUUCCACGAGCACAAGUUGUGAGCGAACCGAUUAGUGUGAUGACAUAGACGGGAGCCACGCACGGCUGCCGCAAGUGUGAACAGAGGAAAAAAGGCACGGGACUUCUUUUCGUUUUCACACGCUAUAUCGGACUGCCAUUUUCCAAAAGCAGAGCCGCAUUUCGUCGCGAUCAGCCGGGCGCCGCAGACGUCACGGCGCUCUUGUUUCCAAACAUGAAGGAGGGGGCGUUAUCAGGGUCCUUCUUCGCGAAGCACAAAGACGCGUCUAUCGCCCCACUGUGUAGGACACAUAUACCGCAGUCGCUGCAACUGGUAUCGCAGAUCGAUAGCAUCUGACGGAAGUAGACGCCCUGGCAGCAUCCUCUUAAAUUUUUUUCUGUAUUGUCCUUCUCUGUAGAUAGUGGUCGCGCAGGACAAACGCACCGGCAGGCAAACGAGCCACCCUCUAUAGUUUGGUGCUAACGACGCGGGUGAGGAAGCUUGAGAAGACGCAUCGCCCAUAUUGAAGGCUUUAGUUUGAAAGCCGGGAGAAGGCGGGGCGAGGGAAAGGGUGGCGGAUAAAGGGGGUGAGGCCGGCUCAUUUUCUGUGCGGCUGCGGAGAGCGCUGGCUAGCUUAGCCCUGUCCAUGUCAGUGACCCCUCCACUUAAUCCUACGGCGGAGCCGAAUUCCAUUCAGCGUUGCUUCUACUGUGACUUUCUUCCUCCCUGCCGAGAAGCGAAGAUGAGAAGAUGCAGCUGUCAAGCGGGGGUCACGACCGCGAAGUCCCAGUGACAGCUGCCAUGCCGCUGACGUGCGUGAGUGUGGUCAUCCGCAGUAUUUUUGCCUUCGGCGCCAGAGUACGACGAGUCUUCUCGGUGCGCUCUUCCGGGACGCCUAGCUACUCGAAAUUGGCAAAAGUGACGAAGCGGAAGUUCAACGAUAUGCAAUACAGGAGCCGCGGCACCGACCUACGUCGGUUCCUGUUCCUGAAGACGGUCUCGAGGAAGACUCGCUCCUCUACGCCGACAGCUAAACGCGACAAAGGAAAAGCUGUGAAGUCUGACAGCAGGAGUUCACGUCACCGUGCGAAAAGGAAGCGGUCUCAACUGGCCGCGCAGAAGAGGGCAGCGGAGUUCAAGUUCACUCUGCCGGACCGAGCAAAAGAGUACCGAAGCGGCACGUUCAAGAACUUUCCAGGCCUGCUUGUCCUGGCCCGGAAGCUGAGAAGAUUUUGCAAACGCGGAAACAGUCAUUAUUAAGACUUGUCUUUUUUAAUGCCAUCAACCACAUCGAUAUUAUUCAAACUAUUGUAUAUACCAUGUGCAUAUAGCCUGCCCUAUACAUAAUAAAUCGACUGCAUUCGGAAA